GUAGGGAAUAUUGCGCAAUGGGGGAAACCCUGACGCAGCGACGCCGCGUGAGUGAUGAAGGCCUUCGGGUCGUAAAGCUCUGUUGCAGGGGAAUAAAAAAAUGAAGGUACCCUGUGAGGAAGGAUCGGCUAACUUCGUGCCAGCAGCCGCGGUAAGACGAGGGAUCCUAGCGUUGCUCGGAAUCAUUGGGCGUAAAGAGGGCGUAGGUGGCUUGGUAAGUCAGGUGUGAAAGCCCAGGGCUCAACCCUGGAAGUGCAUUUGAUACUGCUGAGCUUGAGUGUCGGAGAGGUUACCGGAAUACCUGGUGUAGUGGUGAAAUACGUAGAUAUCAGGUGGAACACCGGAGGCGAAGGCGGGUAACUGGACGAACACUGACACUGAGGCCCGAAAGCGUGGGGAUCAAACAGGAUUAGAAACCCGGGUAGUCC
rnacentral:rRNA from 1 species